CCUUUCUGCAUGAGUGUGUGCAUGUCCGAGUGAGCUUGCACGUGUCCAGAAUCGUUUUUUCUGCCUGGAAAAUGGCACACACGGGGGCUGUGGGGGAAAAGGGGACACUUUCUCUUCAUGGAUAAAAACAUUUUUUCUCAUUGCAGAGAGAAACAAACCAACACAGAAAGGACAUUUACCUUCUACACACUCACACACACAAUUUUCCUCUUCAACAGACAGAAUUUAUGCGUAUGUUUUUCUCCCUAGUACAAACUUUCUCAAAGGAGCCAGUAUUUCCAUCCAGUAAUAAAGACUUCAGAGACCCACUCUCUGAGACAGAAUAAUUUUUGACACACACACACACACACACACACACCACACACACACACUUCCCUUCUUCAGGGAUUCAUUUCUCAGCAUGCAGGAAAUUGUGUGAGUGUGUGUGUGCAUCCAUGUGUGUGAGAGUGUGUGCACACAAGUUUGGCUCAAUCAGAUCUGCAUCUAGAUCAAGUGCUGGCUUUUUGGGUGGUGCAUCUAUAGUGAAAGAAGGGAGACAUUUUUUCCAGUGAUGGAGCCUGUGAGUGCGUGUGUGUGUGUGCGUGUGUGUGUGCACCAUGUGUAAGAAUGGGGGGCCAAAAGGAAAGGGAUUGAGAGAAAAGACUUUCUGACUUUCUGCCUGGAGACACACACAUUAUUCUACGUGUGUGGAAUAACGAGGAAUGAAGGGUUUGUUUUCCCAGUGGCACAUAGUGAAA
rnacentral:lncRNA from 1 species